CUACGGGACGCUCCAGUGGGGAAUAUUGCACAAUGGGCGCAAGCCUGAUGCAGCAACGCCGCGUGAGGGAUGAAGGCCUUCGGGUUGUAAACCUCUUUUAGCAGGGAAGAAGCGAAAGUGACGGUACCUGCAGAAAAAGCACCGGCUAACUACGGGCCAGCAGCCGCGGUAAUACGUAGGGUGCAAGCGUUGUCCGGAAUUAUUGGGCGUAAAGAGCUCGUAGGCGGUUUGUCACGUCUGCUGUGAAAAUCCAAGGCUCAACCUUGGACUUGCAGUGGGUACGGGCAGGCUAGAGUGCGGUAGGGGAGAUGGGAAUUCCUGGUGUAGCGGUGGAAUGCGCAGAUAUCAGGAGGAACACCAAUGGCGAAGGCACAUCUCUGGGCCGUAACUGACGCUGAGGAGCGAAAGCGUGGGGAGCGAACAGGAUUAGAUACCCGGGUAGUC
rnacentral:rRNA from 1 species